rnacentral:rRNA from 1 species
GACAGAGGGUGCAAACGUUGCUCGGAAUCACUGGGCGUAAAGGGCGUGUAGGCGGGAAGGAAAGUCGGGCGUGAAAUCCCUGGGCUCCAACCCAGGAACUGCACUCGAAACUUCUUUUCUUGAGUGCCGGAGAGGAAAGCGGAAUUCCUGGUGUAGAGGUGAAAUUCGUAGAUAUCAGGAGGAACACCAGUGGCGAAGGCGGCUUUCUGGACGGUAACUGACG